CGGGUGAGUAACGCGUGGGUAACCUGCCUUGUACUGGGGGACAACAGUUGGAAACGACUGCUAAUACCGCAUAAGCGCACAGCUUCGCAUGAAGCAGUGUGAAAAACUCCGGUGGUACAAGAUGGACCCGCGUCUGAUUAGCUGGUUGGUGAGGUAACGGCCCACCAAGGCAACGAUCAGUAGCCGGUCUGAGAGGGUGAACGGCCACAUUGGGACUGAGACACGGCCCAA
rnacentral:rRNA from 1 species